GACGGAGGAGGCUAGCGUUGUUCGGAAUUACUGGGCGUAAAGCGCGCGUAGGCUGUUUUGUAAGUUGGGGGUGAAAUCCCGGGGCUUAACCCCGGCAUGGCCUCCAAGACUGCAAGGCUUGAGGAUGGUAGAGGAGAGUGGAAUUCCCAGUGUAGAGGUGAAAUUCGUAGAUAUUGGGAAGAACACCAGUGGCGAAGGCGGCUCUCUGGACCAUACCUGACGCUGAGGUGCGAAAGCGUGGGGAUCAAACAGG
rnacentral:rRNA from 1 species